CAAAAAAACACAACUUUCUGAUUGUACAUGAAGGAGGAAGAGAUUGAGGUAACUAUGCUGAGUUGGAAAUUUCUAGCCAACGUAACUAAACAGUGCCAUGUAGUAAAGAGGGAAGACUGAAGUAGAUCAGAGUCAGGGAGAAGCAUUUUAUUGAUCUUAUUUACAUCAGGUGAAGAAUGAGGUAUCUUUGAAACAUCUAUGUGAAGAUAGCAAGAAGAUAACUGGUAAUUCAGGUCCAGAGCUGUAAGGAUUGCUCAAGACUGGGGUAUUCUAUUUUCAAUGCCUUUAAAGUAAGGGAGGUAACUGAAGCCAAGGGCACAGAUGAGGCUGGGGAGAGGCCAUACAAGGCAAAAGAGCCUUGGACAAAACCUUUAGGUAUUUCAACAUUGAGUGGGCAGCUAGAUAUGGAUGACUGCACAAAGAAGGGAGAGAGGGAGGGAACGAAUGAGGAAAAAGAUGUUACAGAGCCAAGGAAAGAGAACAUAUUUCACGAAUUGAGUAUUAGACACAAUAAAAUUCUACUGAUGGCCCAAGAAUGACAAGGACUUGUGAUUUAUAAGCACCAAGUCACUUCUGACCUUAGUCACAAUGUCGGAGAAGGUGGCAUUGUAGCAAGGAGUUCCACAAAGAGUAGAGGUUUGGGAAGUGGAGAGAAAUCAAGAAAGAGGUAAUGGAGAAGUGAAAAUAUUACACAAAAAAGGAAAACAUCCCUAAGAGGCUCCUCUAUUAAAGGAGGAGAGGGAGGAAAGGACAAAUAAUCAAGUUGGAGAAACCCAUACACACACAGGAAAGACCAGACUGGUGGUGACUGACACUCAAGCAGAAGUCAGUUAUGCAAAGAUAACUUAGAAAGUGUAAGUGACAAAAGAACAUGCAGAUGAAAAACAGGCUUGUAGGUGGCCAUGAUGACAUCGAAGGCAAAUGUCAGGAGGAAACUCAAGAUUGCAAAGAAAGUGACCACUGCUUAUGUGUGAUUCCAGGGAUCAACAAGAGACAGAGUGAGAAGGGACCACUUCAAACACGUGUCAUUUUACCCAAGAGCAGGGACAUGGAAUGGCACUGGGAAGGGCAAACAGGUAUGGUGAGGCCAACAGAUCAGGAGAUACUGCCAUUGAAGAGAUGCUUAGCUACACACACUUCCCAAGAAAGGGGCACACACCAGGCAGUGUAGGACCACAUGCGGAAGCAGCAGGAUCGGAAAAACAGCAGGAGCUGGGGGAAAGCAUGGGCAAGAACCUUCACUGUGCUUUUGCAGGUAAGAAUGGUCAAGACAAGGUAAGCAAGCUAAGCAGGGUUAGGCUUGGCUUUUUAAUUUUAUUUUAUUUUGAGACAGGCUCUCACUCUUGUCACCUAGGCUGGAGUACAGUGGUACCAUCAUAGCUCACUGCAGCCUCAACCUCCUGGGCUCAUUUAAUACUCCCACCUCAGCCUCCCAAGUAGCUGGGAGUACAGGCAUACACCACCAUGCCUAGCUAAUUAUUAUAUCUUUUUGUAGAGAUGGGGUCUCACUAUGUUG
rnacentral:lncRNA from 1 species